GAAAUAUUCUUGGUGAAGCAAAACCUCUGCAUCAGCUCCUUUGAUGAUACACAAGUGAGUGAGAAACGCAAAUAUCCUGGCAACUGGACCUGCAGAUCAGGACUGAGGAAAGGAAACGCCUCUCUUCCGUUUCCCUGAACCUCAGCAGAUCACAGCAGGGCCACAGGGAAACUCCGACCGCCUGGAGCCUUCCCCCCUCGCCACUGCUGCCACCACUGCUGCCUUGAGCCUUAGCCCCCCUCCCCGACAAGGGGCCUUCUCUCCUGAGGCGGAGGAGGAAUGGAUGGCCUGUGCAUCGUCUCAGCCCCUUCCCUGCCGAACGCCCACUUGGGCCCCUUGCCUUGUGGCAGCAGAAAGCNGCACGGUGUUGGAAAGCACAGGCUGCCACGCUACGAGCUGAGGAGGGCAUUUCAAGGGGACAGGAGCCCUGAGGUGCUGAUGGAAGUUUAAAGCACGCCGGCCUCUUCAGCGACGCGACGCUUCGGCAGCCCGGGCUCCCCUUCGCCG
rnacentral:lncRNA from 1 species